rnacentral:rRNA from 1 species
AGAGUUUGAUCCUGGCUCAGGAUGAACGCUGGCGGCGUGCUUAACACAUGCAAGUCGAACGAACCUUCGGGUUAGUGGCGGACGGGUGAGUAACGCGUGGGAAUCUGCCCUCAGGAGGGGGAUAACGGUUGGAAACGACCGCUAAUACCCCAUAUGCCGAGAGGUGAAAUGAAUUUCGCCUGAGGAUGAGCCCGCGUCUGAUUAGCUUGUUGGUGAGGUAAAGGCUCACCAAGGCUUCGAUCAGUAGCUGGUCUGAGAGGAUGAUCAGCCACACUGGGACUGAGACACGGCCCAGACUCCUACGGGAGGCAGCAGUGGGGAAUUUUCCGCAAUGGGCGAAAGCCUGACGGAGCAACGCCGCGUGAGGGACGAAGGCCUCUGGGCUGUAAACCUCUUUUCUCAAGGAAGAAGAUAUGACGGUACUUGAGGAAUAAGCCACGGCUAAUUCCGUGCCAGCAGCCGCGGUAAUACGGGAGUGGCAAGCGUUAUCCGGAAUUAUUGGGCGUAAAGCGUCCGCAGGCGGCCUUUCAAGUCUGCUGUUAAAGCGUGGAGCUUAACUCCAUCAUGGCAGUGGAAACUGAUAGGCUUGAGUAUGGUAGGGGCAGAGGGAAUUCCCGGUGUAGCGGUGAAAUGCGUAGAUAUCGGGAAGAACACCAGUGGCGAAGGCGCUCUGCUGGGCCAUAACUGACGCUCAUGGACGAAAGCCAGGGGAGCGAAAGGGAUUAGAUACCCCUGUAGUCCUGGCCGUAAACGAUGAACACUAGGUGUCGGGGGAAUCGACCCCUUCGGUGUCGUAGCUAACGCGUUAAGUGUUCCGCCUGGGGAGUACGCACGCAAGUGUGAAACUCAAAGGAAUUGACGGGGGCCCGCACAAGCGGUGGAGUAUGUGGUUUAAUUCGAUGCAACGCGAAGAACCUUACCAGGGCUUGACAUCCUGCGAACCUUUAAGAAAUUAAAGGGUGCCUUCGGGAACGCAGUGACAGGUGGUGCAUGGCUGUCGUCAGCUCGUGUCGUGAGAUGUUGGGUUAAGUCCCGCAACGAGCGCAACCCACGUUUUUAGUUGCCAGCAUUUAGUUGGGCACUCUAGAAAGACCGCCGGUGAUAAACCGGAGGAAGGUGUGGAUGACGUCAAGUCAUCAUGCCCCUUACGUCCUGGGCUACACACGUACUACAAUGCUACGGACAAAGGGCAGCAAACUCGCGAGAGCUAGCAAAUCCCAUAAACCGUGGCUCAGUUCAGAUCGUAGGCUGCAACUCGCCUACGUGAAGUAGGAAUCGCUAGUAAUCGCAGGUCAGCAUACUGCGGUGAAUACGUUCCCGGGCCUUGUACACACCGCCCGUCACACCAUGGAAGUUGGCCACGCCCGAAGUCGUUACUUUAACCCUUGUGGAGAAGGACGCCGAAGGUGGGGCUGAUGACUGGGGUGAAGUCGUAACAAGGUAGCCGUACCGGAAGGUGCGGCUG